rnacentral:rRNA from 1 species
CCCUUAGAUGUCCUGGGCGGCCCGCGCACUACAAUGGCGUGUGCAGCGAGUACCGAAGUAGAGUUUUCCGAGGUAUUCUUGCAAUGCUCGUUUUGAUGGGGAUAGACCCUUGCAACUGUUGGUUUUGAACGAGGAAUUCCUUGUAAGCAUGGUUUAUCAUCCGACGCUGAAUGCGUCCCUGCCCUUUGUACACACCGCCCGUCGCUCCUACCGAUGAGUCGUCCGGUGAAGUUCGUAGACCUCGUGAUUGCGGAUCACUGGGGGAAGCAAAAUGAACCUCGCGGUUUAGAGGAAGGAGAAGUCGUAACA